rnacentral:rRNA from 1 species
CCUACGGGCGGCAGCAGUAGGGAAUAUUGCUCAAUGGGGGCAACUCUGACGCAGCAACGCCGCGUGGAGGAUGAAGGUUUUCGGAUUGUAAACUUCUUUUGUUAGAGAAGAUAAUAACGGUAUCUAACGAAUAAGCACCGGCUAAUUACGUGCCAGCAGCCGCGGUAAUACGGAGGGGGCAGGCGUUACUAGGAAGCACUGGGGGGCAAGAGGGCGUAGGCGGGUGAGCAAGUCAGAUGUGAAAUCCUAUGGCUUAACCAUAGAACUGCAUUGAAAAUGUUAUUCUAGAGUAUGGGAGAGGUAGGUGGAAUUCUUGGUGUAGGGGUAAAAUCCGUAGAGAUUGAGAGGAAUACUCGUUGCGAAGG